GACGAACGCUGGCGGCGUGCCUAAUACAUGCAAGUCGAGCGCAGGAAAUCGACGGAACCCUUCGGGGGGAAGUCGAUGGAAUGAGCGGCGGACGGGUGAGUAACACGUAAAGAACCUGCCCUCAGGUCUGGGAUAACCACGAGAAAUCGGGGCUAAUACCGGAUGGGUCAUCGGACCGCAUGGUCCGAGGAUGAAAGGCGCAUCGGCGUCGCCUGGGGAUGGCUUUGCGGUGCAUUAGCUAGUUGGUGGGGUAAUGGCCCACCAAGGCGACGAUGCAUAGCCGACCUGAGAGGGUGAUCGGCCACACUGGGACUGAGACACGGCCCAGACUCCUACGGGAGGCAGCAGUAGGGAAUCUUCCACAAUGGACGAAAGUCUGAUGGAGCAACGCCGCGUGAACGAUGAAGGCCUUCGGGUCGUAAAGUUCUGUUGUAAGGGAAGAACAAGUGCCGCAGGCAAUGGCGGCACCUUGACGGUACCUUGCGAGAAAGCCACGGCUAACUACGUGCCAGCCGCCGCCGUAACAC
rnacentral:rRNA from 1 species